CGUACACUCCUGCGGGAGGCAGCAGUGGGGAAUUUUGGACAAUGGGCGAAAGCCUGAUCCAGCCAUGCCGCGUGCAGGAUGAAGGCCUUCGGGUUGUAAACUGCUUUUGUACGGAACGAAACGGCCUUUUCUAAUAAAGAGGGCUAAUGACGGUACCGUAAGAAUAAGCACCGGCUAACUACGUGCCAGCAGCCGCGGUAAUACGUAGGGUGCAAGCGUUAAUCGGAAUUACUGGGCGUAAAGCGUGCGCAGGCGGUUAUGUAAGACAGUUGUGAAAUCCCCGGGCUCAACCUGGGAACUGCAUCUGUGACUGCAUAGCUAGAGUACGGUAGAGGGGGAUGGAAUUCCGCGUGUAGCAGUGAAAUGCGUAGAUAUGCGGAGGAACACCGAUGGCGAAGGCAAUCCCCUGGACCUGUACUGACGCUCAUGCACGAAAGCGUGGGGAGCAAACAGGAUUAGAUACCCGAGUAGUCC
rnacentral:rRNA from 1 species